CAAGGGUGGGGUUGUUCGCCCAUUAAAAGGGAUCGUGAACUGGGUUCAGACCGUCGUGAGACAGGUUUGUUGCUUUUCGCUGGAAGUGCAUUGGUGCCUGACGGGAAGGUCCCUCUAGUACGAGAGGAACGGGGGAUCGUCGCCGCUGGUCGAUCAGUUGUCCGACAGGGCAUUGCUGAGCAGCUACGCGAUGGAGGAUAAGAGCUGAACGCAUCUAAGCACGAAACCUCCCCGAAAAAGAGGCACCUUACGGUCGCCGAACAUGACGGCGUUGAUAGAGUCGGGAUGUAAGU
rnacentral:rRNA from 1 species